rnacentral:rRNA from 1 species
AGAGCGAACGCUGGCGGCAGGCCUAACACAUGCAAGUCGAGCGCCCGUAGCAAUACGGGAGCGGCAGACGGGAUAGUAACACGUGGGAACGCGCCCUUCGGUUCGGAAUAACUCAGGGAAACUUGAGCUAAUACCGGAUACGCCCUUACGGGGAAAGAUUUAUUGCCGAAGGAACGGCCCGCGUCCGAUUAGCUAGUUGGUGAGGUAAUGGCUCACCAAGGCGACGAUCGGUAGCUGGUCUGAGAGGAUGACCAGCAUCACUGGGACUGAGACACGGCCCAGACUCCUACGGGAGGCAGCAGUGGGGAAUAUUGGACAAUGGGCGCAAGCCUGAUCCAGCCAUGCCGCGUGGAUGAUGAAGGCCUUAGGGUUGUAAAGUCCUUUUAACGGGAAGAUAAUGACGGUACCGUAGAAUAGCCCCGGCUAACUUCGUGCCAGCAGCCGC